rnacentral:rRNA from 1 species
GAUCAUGGCUCAGGAUGAACGCUGGCGGCGUGCCUAAUACAUGCAAGUAGAACGCUGAAGGAAGGAGCUUGCUCUUUCCGGAUGAGUUGCGAACGGGUGAGUAACGCGUAGGUAACCUGCCUGGUAGCGGGGGAUAACUAUUGGAAACGAUAGCUAAUACCGCAUAACAGUAGAUGUUGCAUGACAUUUACUUGAAAGGUNCAAUUGCACCACUACCAGAUGGACCUGCGUUG